GAUGAACGCUGGCGGCGUGCCUAAUACAUGCAAGUCGAGCGAACAGACGAGGAGCUUGCUCCUCUGACGUUAGCGGCGGACGGGUGAGUAACACGUGGAUAACCUACCUAUAAGACUGGGAUAACUUCGGGAAACCGGAGCUAAUACCGGAUAACAUGUUGAACCGCAUGGUUCAACAGUGAAAGACGGUCUUGCUGUCACUUAUAGAUGGAUCCGCGCCGCAUUAGCUAGUUGGUAAGGUAACGGCUUACCAAGGCAACGAUGCGUAGCCGACCUGAGAGGGUGAUCCGCCCCACUGGAACUGAGACACGGUCCAGACUCCUACGGGAGGCAGCAGUAGGGAAUCUUCCGCAAUGGGCGAAAGCCUGACGGAGCAACGCCGCGUGAGUGAAGAAGGUCUUCGGAUCGUAAAACUCUGUUAUUAGGGAAGAACAAAUGUGUAAGUAACUAUGCACGUCUUGACGGUACCUAAUCAGAAAGCCACGGCUAACUACGUG
rnacentral:rRNA from 1 species